GACGAACGCUGGCGGCGUGCUUAACACAUGCAAGUCGAACGGAAAGGCCCCUUUGGGGGUACUCGAGUGGCGAACGGGUGAGUAACACGUGAGUAACCUGCCCUUGACUUCGGGAUAACUUCAGGAAACUGGGGCUAAUACCGGAUAGGAAUCCUUGCUGCAUGGUGGGGGUUGGAAAGCUUCGGCGGUUUUGGAUGGACUCGCGGCUUAUCAGCUUGUUGGUGGGGUAGUGGCUUACCAAGGCUUUGACGGGUAGCCGGCCUGAGAGGGCGACCGGCCACAUUGGGACUGGGAUACGGCCCAGACGCCUACGGGAGGCAGCAGGGGGGAAUAUUGCACAAUGGGCGGAAGCCUGAUGCAGCAACGCCGCGUGCGGGAUGACGGCCUUCGGGUUGUAAACCGCUUUCAGCAGGGGCGAAGCUUGUGGUGACGGUACCUGCAGAAGAAGCACCGGCUAACUACGUG
rnacentral:rRNA from 1 species